rnacentral:lncRNA from 1 species
CUCAAAUAAACUUCACAAAAUAUGACCAUUUAAAGUAAAAAAUACAUCUAUGAAGCUUUUAAGAAGCUUUGCCAUAAGAUAACAUUGAAUUUACCUACAUUUAUCUUCUAUCUAACACUUCUUAAUUAUAUAAAUACAUACGUAUAUGAUAAUACUUCAUAUAGAAGCUACUUGCAUGUAUCCUUAUUUCUUUUUGGUUAGUGGUAUUGUUCACAUUUGAUGACGUUGCGGAGGUGAUUUCUAUUGCCGUGAUACACUUGCAAGAACUAAGUACCCUUUUGAAUUAAUAGAAAGUCCAACUCUAAGACUAGAUUUAGUCUUUGGUAGAUUUAUGCAAAAUACAAAGUCCGCACAAUGUAGAGACUCUAACCAUGGCUUAUGAGGCAUCAAAUUUGGUCAUCAAAGCAUCUCGGUGUGUGGCUCUCACGAGUGCAAAGGCCUUCAUUCAAAAUCAAGGCACCUUCAUGAUGAGCCUCAUAGCUUCACUGCCCACAAUCAAGACUGCAAUUCAUAAUGUAGCAAUCUUGUAUAAUGGACUUGUUAACAACACUACAUCCAUUCUUAUCCAACACGAUUGGAACAAUAAUGCUUAAUGACAAGGACAUUCCAAAAGUGCUACCCCACAAUUUGUAUGCACUAUAAAUAUCUUUAUUAUACAUUUCCAUCUAUCAAUACAAGAUAAAGUUGGAAUUAGUUGGGUAGAAUGGUCAAUCCAUUGAAGAUAUUGAGAAUGACUAUUGAGCCAUAGUAUAUGCCUAUUGCAAGGAGAUGACUAUCCAAGACAUUAUUGACAAGUACUCCAAUUUGCAAAUAUAAUUUCACGUCAAAUGAGAUGAAUAUUAAUAAUACUUCACUUAAAAGUAUGCUACAUUCUAAACAAUUUGAUAAAGUCUAUCAAAUUUGACAAGGAUGGAUGUUUUUAGAUAGUCCUAUAGAUGAAUUUCAUCCUUUUUAAUUUAUCUGAAAUAAAACCUAGCCGCAACCCUAAAAUGAGCUAAAUUUGGUAUUUCAGGGAAACCCAAAUUUAAAGAGGCCUGGCCAUUAGUCUUAAGUAAAUAUUAAUCAUACGUGAGAAAAAAUACCUCUUGCAAUGAGAAUUUAAAGAAACAACCUAAUAGAUAUUAUGCAGGUUUUCUUAGUGACUCUUGGCACACACUCACCCCAUUUUGGUUUGGUGCUGGACCGGAAAAUGGACGAAAAACUGGUAA